AAAUAUAUCAAUAGAAAACUAAAUGAUUCAAACACAGAAACUUUCAUUCAUUCAUCAUCUUCAUAUUCCUAACAAAACGUUGAAACAAAAUGCUACUGGUAACCCUAACCCCUAAAUUGAUGAAAUUCGCGGUUCCUUUUCUACUCGCGGAGAAGCAUUCCCUCUCUCUUUGCGUUCCUCCCUACUCGCCUUGUUAUGCUCUCUUCGUGUUACCUCGUGUUCCUCUCUUUCUCUGUUCUUUGCACGGUGUCGGUUACUUCUCUCUGCAUUUUGCCGAAAAAUUGCAUAGUACAAGAUCUGGUUUCGUUCUGCGUUUGAUCUGCUGCCAAACUUGUUUCAUUUCAUUAGGUUUUGCUUGCCGUUCAUCUCUGAUCUCUUCCAAUUUGCCAGUGUUCUUCUGCUAGGGUUCAUCACCGCUGAUCAUUGUUCAGUUUUUGCUUCAUCGGCACCUUCGCUUCACUCUUGCGCCACCUCAGCAUCGAGCGUGGUGCACUGCCGCCACACCGGCUAUAAACCCGUACCACCUGUGGAAGGAGAAGGAAGAGGAGAUUUUGAGGGACAUUGAGCCUGUGGUUACACUAACCAAAGAUAUUCUUCACUCUCGAAGUCAGGAAUGUAAAUGUUAAUGUCCUUCAACUGCAGCAGCAGAAUGCUGAGUCCGUGUGGGCGGUGCUAGGGCUUGCAGAUGAGCCUGCGGUGCAGCCUUGCUCUGAGGUGAAGAAGAAUGGGGUUUCGCCUAGGACUGCAGCGACGCUCAUUCCGGGUCCGGCUGUUGUUACGUUGGGGUGGAGAGGAAGCCAGGUUGUCCUCUGAAGGCUGUGCCCACUGCUGAUGUUGUUGCUGCUGUUGUGGCGGCAGCUGAAGCUUCAAGUGGUGACUCCUAUUAUGUUCAUUGUUGUUUCUGAUCUUGCCGCUGUUGUGAAUGCAUUGCUGUUGGCGCCCGUAGUUGUGCUUGCCAAUCAACAGUCAUUAUAACCAGGUCAUUCAUUUGAGUUAUGAAAUUUUAUAUCUAUCUGAGUUGAUUUUGUUUUCCCUUUUUUAUUUUUAUUUGUUUGUUAUUCCGACAAACAGAUCUAAAGAAAUCAUUUAAGUGCCUCCAUAUAGCUGAGAAAAUAUUCUCUCUCUCUCUGAGUAAAAUGUGCUACUAUCAUCUCUCUCCUCUGCAAAUUUUUUUUCAAGAAUCAAUUAUUGGAAAAUGCAAUGUGAUUUCCACAUCAAUAGACCAGAAAAUCCUGAACCAUCUGAAACAGAGUUGAAGAGAGCUGAUUUGUUUUUCAAUUAUGCAUAUGCGUUAGUUGCUAGCCGUGCAAAACUUGAUGACUUUACAAUUGAAGUGCAAGUAGGCACAAGCAGUGCUGGAUGCGGCUGAAGCUGCCACUACAACUGUGAGAUUUCUGGACAUACAUCAUAAGUUUAAGUCUGAGAUUGAAGAAUGUUCAAAAAAGAUUCCUUCUUAGGGGUAUUUCAAAUAAUAAUAUAAUUGGCUCCAUUCCUUCUUCCCUCGGUGACUUGGAACAUCUUCUAAAGCUGAACCUGAGCAGAAAUCAUAUAACAGGAUUUAUUCCAGCAGAAUUUGCUAAUCUUAGAAGUGUUAUGGACAUGCAAGUCAUUUGUC